rfam:Triticum aestivum genome assembly, contig: Triticum_aestivum_CS42_TGACv1_scaffold_404522_5BL
CAAAUACUCUGUCAGUCCCACAAUUUUUGUCCUAUAUUUGUCUAGAUAUUGAUGUAUCAAGUCAUGUUUUAGUAUUAGGUACAUCCGUAUCUAGACAAAUCUAAGAUAAGAAUUUUGGAACGGAGGAAGUAAUUC